rnacentral:rRNA from 1 species
AGUGAACGCUGGCGGUAGGCCUAACACAUGCAAGUCGAACGGCAGCACAGUAAGAGCUUGCUCUUACGGGUGGCGAGUGGCGGACGGGUGAGGAAUACAUCGGAAUCUACUUUUUCGUGGGGGACAACGUAGGGAAACUUACGCUAAUACCGCAUACGACCUACGGGUGAAAGCAGGGGAUCUUCGCACCUUGCGCGAUUGAAUGAGCCGAUGUCGGAUUAGCUAGUUGGCGAGGUAAAGGCCCACCAAGGCGACGAUCCGUAGCUGAUCUGAGAGGAUGAUCAGCCACACUGGAACUGAGACACGGUCCAGACUCCUACGGGAGGCAGCAGUGGGGAAUAUUGGACAAAGGGCGCAAGCCUGAUCCAGCCAUACCGCGUGGGUGAAGAAGGCCUUCGGGUUGUAAAGCCCUUUUGUUGGGAAAGAAAAGCAGCAGGUUAAUACCCCGCUGUUCUGACGGUACCCAAAGAAUAAGCACCGGCUAACUUCGUG